rnacentral:misc_RNA from 1 species
GAUGAAGAACGCAGCGAAAUGCGAUAAGUAGUGUGAAUUGCAGAAUUCAGUGAAUCAUCGAAUCUUUGAACGCACAUUGCGCCCCUUGGUAUUCCAUGGGGCAUGCCUGUUCGAGCGUCAUUUGUACCUUCAAGCUUUGCUUGGUGUUGGGUGUUUGUCCUGAGGGACUCGCCUUAAAGUAAUUGGCAGCCAGUGUUUGGUUUUGAAGCGCAGCACAAGUCGCGAUUCAAAGCUAUACGCCCACUUCCACAAGCCUUUUUCACUUUUGACCUCGGAUCAGGUAGGGAUACCCGCUGAACUUAAGCAUAUCAAUAAGCGGAGGA